rnacentral:rRNA from 1 species
UACGUAGGGGGCAAGCGUUGUCCGGAAUUAUUGGGCGUAAAGAGCGUGUAGGCGGUCCGGUAAGUCAGCUGUGAAAGUCAAGGGCUCAACCCUUGAAUGCCGGUUGAUACUGUCGGGCUAGAGUCCGGAAGAGGCGAGUGGAAUUCCCGGUGUAGCGGUGAAAUGCGCAGAUAUCAGGAGGAACACCGAUUGCGAAGGCAGCUCGCUGGGACGUGACUGACGCUGAGACGCGAAAGCGUGGGGAGCAAACAGG